CUCCCAUUCCAACUUCUUCCAGCUGGGUUCGCUGAUCCUGCUCAUCUCAUACUUUGCAGUUAGGCCUGCAAAAGGACUAUCCCAGAGUCUCACUGGGUAGAAUGCAGUGGCUGUAGAGAUGGGGACGCCCAGGAUUUCCACAGCACAGCUGGCUGCCGACCUGUACCAGGCCCCAGUGACUGGCUUGCCCUUGGAAGCAUAAUGGUCUCCAGUUCCAGGCCACAUGAGCCCACGAAUCCUCUGGGAUUGAGCCAAGGCUUGGCAGGGGGCAGGGUUUGCAAAGCCACCUGCACAGGCAUUGAGCCUCGGCCCUAGGGAAAGGCACACACCACGGGUGCCCUCCUUACUGAAGUUCUGUACAGAGCCAAGAAGGAUGGAUCAGGCCUGCAGCUGAAGAGGAAACAAAGGCUGUUUUCAUGAAAGAUGUUAUUGAUUCCAUUUUUUAAAAAGGACGAAACCUCACUUAUAAAAAUGAGUCAUUGUGGGAAGCA